rnacentral:rRNA from 1 species
AUUGAACGCUGGCGGCAUGCCUUACACAUGCAAGUCGAACGGCAGCACGGGAGCAAUCCUGGUGGCGAGUGGCGAACGGGUGAGUAAUACAUCGGAACGUGCCCAGUAGUGGGGGAUAGCCCGGCGAAAGCCGGAUUAAUACCGCAUACGACCUACGGGUGAAAGCGGGGGAUCGCAAGACCUCGCGCUAUUGGAGCGGCCGAUGGCAGAUUAGCUAGUUGGGGGUAAGCCUACCAAGGCGACGAUCUGUAGCUGGUCUGAGAGGACGACCAGCCACACUGGGACUGAGACACGGCCCAGACUCCUACGGGAGGCAGCAGUGGGGAAUUUUGGACAAUGGGCGCAAGCCUGAUCCAGCCAUGCCGCGUGCGGGAAGAAGG